ACCACAUGAUACGACAGUUCUUCAUCUUAAAAAGACUAUGGAACGACACAUGUGUUUAUGUUUUGUAAGAGAAAACAUCUAGAAGUUUCAACCCCGUGACACGACAGUUCUUGAGAAAGCUAUUGAGAAACAUAUGUGUUUUAUAAGACAAAACGUUAAGAAUAAAAUAAGUUGAAAACAUA